ACGGGACCGCCCAACGACCGACGAUGCGUAGGGGUUCUGAGAGGAAGGUCCCCCCACACUGGUACUGAGACACGGACCAGACUCCUACGGAAGGCAGCAG
rnacentral:rRNA from 1 species